rnacentral:rRNA from 1 species
GGCGAACGGGUGAGUAACACGUGAGCAACCUGCCCUAGGCUUUGGGAUAACCCCGGGAAACCGGGGCUAAUACCGAAUAUUACCACCGGGCGCAUGUUUGGUGGUGGAAAGUUUUUCGGCCUGGGAUGGGCUCGCGGCCUAUCAGCUUGUUGGUGGGGUGAUGGCCUACCAAGGCGACGACGGGUAGCCGGCCUGAGAGGGCGACCGGCCACACUGGGACUGAGACACGGCCCAGACUCCUACGGGAGGCAGCAGUGGGGAAUAUUGCACAAUGGGCGGAAGCCUGAUGCAGCGACGCCGCGUGAGGGAUGACGGCCUUCGGGUUGUAAACCUCUUUCAGCAGGGACGAAGCGCAAGUGACGGUACCUGCAGAAGAAGCGCCGGCCAACUACGUGCCAGCAGCCGCGGUAAGACGUAGGGCGCGAGCGUUGUCCGGAUUUAUUGGGCGUAAAGAGCUCGUAGGCGGCUUGUCGCGUCGACUGUGAAAACCCGCGGCUCAACCGCGGGCCUGCAGUCGAUACGGGCAGGCUAGAGUUCGGUAGGGGAGACUGGAAUUCCUGGUGUAGCGGUGAAAUGCGCAGAUAUCAGGAGGAACACCGGUGGCGAAGGCGGGUCUCUGGGCCGAUACUGACGCUGAGGAGCGAAAGCGUGGGGAGCGAACAGGAUUAGAUACCCUGGUAGUCCACGCUGUAAACGUUGGGCGCUAGGUGUGGGGGGCCUCUCCGGUUCUCUGUGCCGCAGCUAACGCAUUAAGCGCCCCGC